AAGUGCUCUAUCAGAGGACAAUGGGCUGAGGCGCGUGCACGAGUCGACCCCAUAUUUUAUUUUCUUUCAUCUUUGAACCUAAACACGCUUUCCCGGUCGGAAUAUUAUCGCUUUUUUAUGAGAAAAAUGGCAUAAAAAUUGAUUUUAAACAGCGGUUGACAUGCUUCGAAGUACGGUAAUGGAAUAUUUAGAAUUUUUUUGUCACGAAAUGCAUCGUGCGCGUCACCCUUCUUUACCAUUCAGAUAGUGUCUUGAACGCACGAACAAAACAGAGGAUAUUUGGAUAUAACUAUGGAUUAUUUAGAACCAAACCAACAUUUGUUAUUGAAGUAGAAGUCCUGGGAGUGCAUUCUGACGAAGACAGCAAAGAAUGUUGGUGGGCGGAGCCGGGAGGUUCGUCAGCGAAAUGGAACACACCUGGGCUCGGGCUCGUCCCGGGGAUAUAUACAUCUUUCCCACAUACAUUGAGAAAACUCUC
rnacentral:lncRNA from 1 species